rnacentral:rRNA from 1 species
UGCAAGUCGAACGAUGAACCACUUCGGUGGGGAUUAGUGGCGAACGGGUGAGUAACACGUGGGCAAUCUGCCCUUCACUCUGGGACAAGCCCUGGAAACGGGGUCUAAUACCGGAUACCACUCUCGCAGGCAUCUGUGAGGGUUGAAAGCUCCGGCGGUGAAGGAUGAGCCCGCGGCCUAUCAGCUUGUUGGUGAGGUAACGGCUCACCAAGGCGACGACGGGUAGCCGGCCUGAGAGGGCGACCGGCCACACUGGGACUGAGACACGGCCCAGACUCCUACGGGAGGCAGCAGUGGGGAAUAUUGCACAAUGGGCGAAAGCCUGAUGCAGCGACGCCGCGUGAGGGAUGACGGCCUUCGGGUUGUAAACCUCUUUCAGCAGGGAAGAAGCGAAAGUGACGGUACCUGCAGAAGAAGCGCCGGCUAACUACGUGCCAGCAGCCGCGGUAAUACGUAGGGCGCAAGCGUUGUCCGGAAUUAUUGGGCGUAAAGAGCUCGUAGGCGGCUUGUCACGUCGGGUGUGAAAGCCCGGGGCUUAACCCCGGGUCUGCAUUCGAUACGGGCUAGCUAGAGUGUGGUAGGGGAGAUCGGAAUUCCUGGUGUAGCGGUGAAAUGCGCAGAUAUCAGGAGGAACACCGGUGGCGAAGGCGGAUCUCUGGGCCAUUACUGACGCUGAGGAGCGAAAGCGUGGGGAGCGAACAGGAUUAGAUACCCUGGUAGUCCACGCCGUAAACGGUGGGAACUAGGUGUUGGCGACAUUCCACGUCGUCGGUGCCGCAGCUAACGCAUUAAGUUCCCC